rnacentral:rRNA from 1 species
CAGCCGUAAACUAUGCGCGUUAGGUGUAUCGGUGACCACGAGUUACCGAGGUGCCGAAGGGAAACCGUGAAACGUGCCCCCUGGGAAGUACGGUCGCAAGGCUGAAACUUAAAAGGAAUUGGCGGGGGGAGGCACCGCAACGGGAGGAGCGUGCGGUUUAAUUGGAUUCAACACCGUAAACUACACCAGGGAAGGACUGUUACAUGAAGGCCGAGAUGAAGACUCUGCUAGAUUUUCUAGAGAGGAGGUGCAUGGCGUCAGUGACU